rnacentral:lncRNA from 1 species
UAUUUGAGGGCAGUAACAAUCUCCCUUCUAGCCUCAGCCAUAUUGAGAAGCCUCUCUUGGUAAGGCCUGCUGGUGUGAAGUCUUCUUCUAACUUGCUUUUUGUGAGGCUGCUGUUGGACUUCUUCUAAUUUGGCUGCACUAUUACUCUGCCUCGACAAACCAUUAUUAUUAUUACUAUUAUGGCCUUCAUCAACAGCAACUGAAGAAGAAGAAGAAGAAGAAGAGUCUGCCGAAAUCAUUGGAUGGUCUUUAGUUCUGGAGGAGGAAGAGGAGGAGGCCAAUUGCUUCACUAGGCUACGGAUAUAGGCACCGGAGAGUUGAGGCUCUUGCUUCAGGUUGCUACUGCUAUUAUCUAUUUCCAUACUCUGCUUUUCGUGGCUAACUGAUGAUGAUCUACUUCUGGCUCUUGUAUGAUCAAUUUUUGACAAAUCAUGAGAAUGUGGAAGAAAAGAUGGUGGUGGUGGUGGUGGCGGUGGUGGUAGGGAGAAUCAUGUUUCUUUUUUUCUAUACUUUUUUUUUGGGUUUUCUGAUCGUAACAGACAGAAGGCGAUGCAGAGGAAAUGCAGCAGAGGUGGGGGUGGUGAGGUGGAGAGAAAGCAUCAUGCUUGUUAUAAAUACUAUGUGGGAGUUGGAGGGAGGAGGAAGAAAGUAAAGACUUCUGUUCUGUGUAGCGUGUUUUAUUUACUUUUUUUGUUUAAUUUUCAUGAGAAUGUGGAAGAAAAGAUGGUGGCGGUGGUGGGAGGGAGAAUCAUGUUUCUUUUUUCGUUCUUUACUUUAUUUAUUUAUUUGGUUGUCUGAUCCUAACGACACAAGGCGAUGCAGAGGAAAUGCAGCAGAGGUGGGGGUGGUGAGGUGGAGAGAAAGCAUCAUGCUUGUUAUAAAUACUAUGUGGGAGUUGGAGGGAGG